UGAAAGAGUGAUUCAGACACCGUUAACACAAACGAGAGGAGACAGGCCAGUACUUAGCACGACAGACUCCUCAGAAAGUGUGGACAGGGAAAAGCUGUUUCUUUUCUGUCUGUCUUUUCCCCUUUGCAGACUGCAGAUGAGAAUUUCAUAGCAGGCUAAUUCAAGGAGCAGGAACCCCCAGGUAAUUCAGCCGCCAGUCCUUACAGCAGGUGCCCUUUGUGUGUAGGAGUAGGUGCUGAUAGUAUUAAUAUCAGCUCAUAAAAUAGAGGAGGGUGAGAAGAAUGAGUGACAAGGCACAUUUCAAGUAUCCACUGCAAGAAUUCAACAGGAGAACCCAGAAAACAUGAAAAUGAGGUGGGCUGAGUGGUAAAGUUGGUGCUCUGUUCAAGCUGUGUCCUAAAAUAGAGUGUCCACCCUUUGGGUACACAGGAGAAACCCCUCCAGCUGCACUCAAUACCCUGGGCAGCACCUGAAUUUCUGGUUAAAAUCUGUGUCCAAAUAAGCCAGAAACAUUUGAGAUGUGCAGUAUGAGAAAUUCCCCCUAAGGCAGAGGACACGCAGAUGGGUCUUUGGAAAUCAUAAACUUUCUAAAGAGAUAGGGAAGAAGUACACAGGAACAAGGUCUUCAACUCCACUGGGACAUGAGGAACAUCUUUG